AUCUUUACCCCUUUCUCAUCAGGUAUAAUGGGUUCGAAAGUAUGCUUUCUUCUCUUUCUACUGGUCAUAGGCUAUACUUGUGUAGAGGCCAGAACUUUGGAGGCCAUGGAUAUAAUGGCUACUAUAGACGACCAUAAGCAGCCAAGCAAAGUCUCCGGAAAAGAAAUUCCAAGGGAUGAACAAUUGUGCACUUUAUGUGAAGAGUUUACCUCCCAAGCCAUAUCUUAUCUUAGUGAAAAUGAGACCCAGACUGAGAUCAUAAAUGGGCUUCAUGAAACAUGCUCGCAGUUGCACUCUUUUAAAAAGAAGUGUACUUUGUUGGUUGACUACUAUGCACCUCUUUUCUUUACCGAAGUUGCUACAAUACUCCCGGAGCAGUUAUGUGGAAAGGUGAAUCUGUGUGAGAAAAUGUCACUAGUUCAUCUAUUAAAGCGUGAUGAUGCUUGUGAACUCUGCCAUCAAACUCUUAUUAAGAUUCUGUUGAGACUGAGA
rnacentral:misc_RNA from 1 species